rnacentral:rRNA from 1 species
UAGGGAAUUGUUCGCAAUGGGCGCAAGCCUGACGACGCAACGCCGCGUGGAGGAUGAAGGUCUUCGGAUUGUAAACUCCUGUCGUGUGGGACGAACACUCACCGGGCUAAUCACCGGAGGGCUGACGGUACCACGAAAGGAAGCCCCGGCUAACUCUGUGCCAGCAGCCGCGGUAAUACAGAGGGGGCGAGCGUUGUUCGGAAUUACUGGGCGUAAAGGGCGCGUAGGCGGCCUGCUAAGUCGGACGUGAAAUCCCCUGGCUCAACCAGGGAACUGCGUCCGAUACUGGCGGGCUUGAAUCCGGGAGAGGGAUGCGGAAUUCCAGGUGUAGCGGUGAAAUGCGUAGAUAUCUGGAGGAACACCGGUGGCGAAGGCGGCAUCCUGGACCGGCAUUGACGCUGAGGCGCGAAAGCCAGGGGAGCAAACGG